AGAUCUUUAAGUUUGUUAAUAUCAUUUUGCUUGCUUCUUAGUAUUAAGAUGGCAUAAAAGUUUAGAUCUUUACGGUUGUUUAUAUCAUUUUACUUGCUUCUUAGUUCAACGAUGGCAUAAAGUUCAGGUCUUUACGGUUGUUUAUAUCAUUUUGCUUGCUUCUUAGUUCAACGAUGGCAUAAAGCUGAGAUCUUUAGUAUUGUUUAUAUCAUUUUGCCUCUUCUUAGUUCUUACAAUGGCAUAAAGAUGAGAUCUUUAAGUUUGUUUAUAUCAUUUUGCUUCUUGUUUGUUCUACGAUGGCAUAAAGAUGAGAUCUUUACGUUUGUUUAUAUCUUUCGGAUUGAGCUUUGAGUGUUAUCUAUUCUACACCAAACUAAGAUGCUUCCUGUGUUGUGUUCUUGUUAG
rnacentral:lncRNA from 1 species